rnacentral:rRNA from 1 species
UACGGAGGGGGCAAGCGUUGUUCGGAAUUACUGGGCGUAAAGGGCGCGCAGGCGGCUGCUCAAGUCAGGCGUGAAAGGCCUGGGCUCAACCCGGGAAUUGCGCUUGAGACUGGGCUGGCUUGAGUGCGGGAGAGGAUGGUGGAAUUCCCAGUGUAGAGGUGAAAUGCGCAGAUAUCAGGAGGAACACCGGUGGCGAAGGCGGGUCUCUGGGCCGUAACUGACGCUGAGGAGCGAAAGCAUGGGGAGCGAACAGG